rnacentral:rRNA from 1 species
AUUGAACGCUGGCGGCAUGCUUUACACAUGCAAGUCGAACGGUAACAGGCCGCAAGGUGCUGACGAGUGGCGAACGGGUGAGUAAUGCAUCGGAACGUGCCCAGUCGUGGGGGAUAACUACUCGAAAGAGUAGCUAAUACCGCAUACGAUCUAUGGAUGAAAGCGGGGGACCGUAAGGCCUCGCGCGAUUGGCGCGGCCGAUGUCAGAUUAGGUAGUUGGUGGGGUAAAGGCUCACCAAGCCAACGAUCUGUAGCUGGUCUGAGAGGACAACCAGCCACACUGGGACUGAGACACGGCCCAGACUCCUACGGGAGGCAGCAGUGGGGAAUUUUGGACAAUGGGCGCAAGCCUGAUCCAGCAAUGCCGCGUGCAGGAAGAAGGCCUUCGGGUUGUAAACUGCUUUUGUACGGAACGAAACGGCUCUGGUUAAUACCCGGGGCUAAUGACGGUACCGUAAGAAUAAGCACCGGCUAACUACGUG